UUUUUCUACCUGUCGACUACACACACCAAACCCCACCAUUCUCAUUACUUAAGUAUUACCACUUAACUUUUAACAUGAUUGUUUUCCCUGCUCCUCAUUUUGACAACUAUAAUACUCAACCAUGAAGAUUUCUCAUCAAAUUCUCAUCUAGAACACCCACACAUCUAAAUAUCUAGAGAGAGAGAGAGAGAGAGAGAGAGAAACAGCGCGAGAGAGAGAUAGGGAUGGAGAAGCAGUGCCGGUCACCCCUCUAUGGUGGUGCGGCGAUGUGCAGACGACGGAGCCGUCGCUCCGGUGACUAGAAAUGCCGCUACGGCGGCUGUGGAGCUUUUCACCGACAGAUUUUUCCGAUGUUGUUGAUGAUGAUGAUGGAGGCUGAUGGUGGUGACGAUGGCGGCUGCGUCGCCACCGCCUGCGGCGACUGUUGACACAGUGGCAGUGGUGGUGGUUGUCACAGCUCGGGUUCGGGUACAGGGCUCCAGAUUCGUUAGCUCAGAUUCGGGUCACGUUCAAGCGGGUCAGCUCAGUUCACAUCGAGUCUCGGUUCGGGUCAACAGUUAACGAUUUUGGUUCGGGUGCGCGAAUCAGUUCGGUGUCGGGUCAGACACACGACUCCGGUAAGUGUCGUUUAUCUUCAGUUUUUAGUGGCUUGUUGGUUUACACAGUGCUGAUCUUUUUGAAUCCUGGUAUUUGCGUGGUGAGGGUUAUGCUCUAAUUCAAGUUGCGGAUUCGGUCCACUCGGUUCACAGGUUCAGUUUCGAUGUUCGGUCAACUCGGUCAAACCGAGUUGACUCGGUCAACACACAGUCAGAACGGCUCAGACUUGGAGCCGGUUAAUUCAGUCAAACGGGCAGCUUUCGAUUGGAGUUCGGGAUUUUGGUUUGGACUUGCUUUGGUGUGGCUCAACUCGGUUGACUCGGUCAGACCGAGUCAACUCAGUUAACAUCGGUCAAAACGCAGUCAACUCGAAGAACCGGAAUGCUCUAGUUGCACGCUAGCGAGUUCACAUUCUUGGAAUGACACUACGGAAUCACGCUAGGCUAGCUUUGCACAGGAAUGUCAAGGUUGCAUUUUCAAAAAUAUGGAACGGUUGGAAUAGGAGAACCCAUGGUGAUUUGACUACUUAGCGGGCGUUCACUGUUUUGAAGUCUUAGCUUAUUUGCUUCCGCUGUGCAAUGAAGAUACCGGUCCAGUCACACCAUGCUCUGAUAUUUCGGGGUGUGACAUGUAGUAGACGUCUAAAUCCGUGUGUUGGGUUCUUUAAAUAACAUUGAGCAUGAACUUUUAUUUGAACAAUUUUACUAUGC